GCGAUCAUACCAGCACUAAUGCAUUGGAUCUCAUCAGAACUCUGAAGUUAAGCGUGCUUGGGCGAGAGCAGUACUAGGAUGGGUGACCCCCUGGGAAGUCCUCGUGUUGCACCU
rnacentral:rRNA from 1 species